GUCAGUCUGACAGCUGAUUGGCUGCUCGGAGAUGCAUAUAAUUACCAGCAACUGGCGCUGGGUAGGCAAAGCCCGGAGAAACUGCUGAGAUGAGAGAAAUGUCCCUGGGUGUUCUGGAGGCGGCUCGCGUGCACAGGGAUGGCGACUCCAUCCAGGACGCUUGCUUGGUGGGAUACCAGAGAACACCCUGCUCCCCGAGGGGACAGAGUCAAGGCGAGACCUCAGAAGAUCAUGUGACAGUUGGGCUGUGUGUCUCAAAGGAUUCUGAUGGCAGAACCUCAGAGCUUCUGAGAAGUACAGGGCUGGAGGACAGCUCCCCUGCUCCGAAGGGAGCUGCUCACGCAAGGAAUCCUGGGAAUCUUCUCCAGGAAACAGGCUAUGAUCCGCCUGCAUUCUCUGAGAGUGCUUCCAAAGCAUAGCCUUGGGGUCAGUGUGCCUGGGAACAAAUUUUGGGAAGCCUGUGGAUGACCCUUCUCUCUGUUUCUGUAUUAGUCACCGACCAUUGCAUAACCAAUCUUUCCCCCCCCCCUCCCAAAAAAAACACAACACUUUUUAUCUCAGUCUCAGUGGAUCAGGAAUUCAGCUGCAGCCCCGCUGGCUGGCUGUCCCCAGCCUGAGGUCACCGCGGCUGCAGUUCUCUGAGGGCCUCACUGAGCACUGGCUUUGUGCUUCCUCCAGACUUGUCUCAUGAACCACUGGGCUGCUUGAGUUUUCUUCCAAGAUGGCAACUGCUUUCAGUAGAUUGAACAAUGUAAAAGAGCCUUUUAUGACGACCUUGGAGAGCACUCAGUUAUUCCCUCACAUCCUACUGAGUGUUCCAACCACCUUCACUCUCUGUGGAAGGGGACAAGCCAGCCUGUAAAUGCCUGAAGGUAGGGAUCAUUUGGAGACCAUCUUGGAGGCUGGUGACCAUGGCAACCAUCUCUUCAGCACGAGAGGUAUCCUUCCUGGCAUACAUGGUUGGUUUCUUACCAUUUGCUGGACAUUAGUGGCUAGAGUGUUAACGUGGGAUGUGAAGGACAUGGAAGAAACACGAAUUUAUCAGCUGAGCUCAAGGGAAUGGAAGCAGUAACAAUCACACAGGGCCAUCUCUCCAGCUGUACUCUACCAGGCCGUGGAUGCCACGACACCAGGCUAUCACCCCUAGGCAGCCUGUUCCACCCACAUUCCCAAGGUUAGACCAUUCAUCUGUAAGCAAUGCAGGAGGUGAGAUGUGUGUGUGUGUGUGUGUGUGUGUAUUCACAGCUAAAUUCGUGUUAGCAGCUUGGGACAGGACUAGAACAGAGGGAGUUGGAAUGAACCAAAGCAAAUGAUAAAUAACAUAGAUAAAAUAUCCAUUAAUUGCACAGGGUGAUGGCGGCGCACGCCUUUAAUUCCAGCACUCGGGAGGCAGAGGCAGGCAGAUUUCUGAAUUCGAGGCCAGCCUGGUCUACAGAGUGAGUUCCAGGACAGCCAGGACUACACAGAAAAACCCUGUCUCAAAAAAGAAGGGGGUGGGGUAGGGAAAAGAAGGUUAAAUACAUAGACAGGGCGAGGAGCUGGGACACACACUGACAAGGUGGAGCCUCAUUGGCUGUGACAAAGGGCCGCAUAGGCAGGGGAGGGCUGGGCCCCUGGCUGAGAAGCCUUGUGGUGAAUGAGUGUGUCUCGAGGGGCCCACCACAGCUGUAUCCUGGGUUAAGCCUUGCUGAUCAUUAACUGUGUGGCUCAGGCUAGUGAAUUCAUGUCCUCAGUUUCCCAUGUAUAAAAUGGGUGGUACUGGUACUGUUCCCUCCUACCCCCCACUGUGACUCUCAUUCAGAGACAGAGUCUGGACCCAGCCAGAGGACUGCUUCCCCAGGACACAGCCUAUAGUGGGCACCAUCUGGUGACACUCCAAGUUCGAGGAAGCCUAUGUAUAAGUCCUAUUGACUGGAGGGGUCAGCCCAUGUGAAAGAGCACAGUCUCCCCUGUGCCAGGGAUGUGCAGGCAUGGGACUGCCAGCUUCUGCCCGCCAGUCUGGGCACAGCAUGAUUCUGGGUUGGGGAAACAUCCUGGGCGUUUGCCCCAGAAGACACCACAUACAGACUUCACUCUGGCCUAAGUUUGCUGUCCCAACAAAUAGACAAGGGACGAGACUACGGAUGCUGGGGCCUGUAGACUGGCUUGGCCUGGAAGGAUGCUUGGGAAGCAGGAGCUGGAGGGAAGGCCCAGAUGCACCUGCUGUGUCAGGCCUGUGUGGGAGCCCUUGGGAGCUGUGUGACUCUGGGCAAGUAUCUCAGUCUCUGGACUUCCAUUUCCACAUGCACAGAACCAGAUCAAAUUUGCCUUUUGGUUUUCGACCUGUCCUGGGGCGUUUGGGCUAGCCAGAGGGACCCAGAGCCCUCAUGGGCAUGCAUGUGGUAGGGUCAAAGACCACGUCUUCCUAACCCAUCA